CUGGCCCAAGCCAGUGACCCGGCUGGGCCAAGGCACGCAUGCGUGAACUAUUCACGCAUGCUGUGCACAGGGGGGAGGUAAAUAAAAUUACCUCCUCCCUAUACUUACACACAACUAUAAACGAAAGGGAGCGGGAAGCUUACCUGGAAGCAGGAACGAAGACGAUGACGAAGGCCUGGUCGGCUAUUUGCUUUCUUCCUCUGCUUUUGUUUUUCUUUCGCCUCACCUCUGUUUUUGGUUUUCUGUGCUUGGUUUCUUCCUGUCCGUCCCCUGUUUUGUGUGUGUUUCGUUCUCCUAUGGCCCUCUGUUUUUGCUCGUCUUCUCUGUAUUAUCUCUGUUCUUACGUCUUGUUGUGUUCCCGGUGCUACUUCCUCUCUGGAAGCAGGGAGACGGAGGCGUGAUGGAGGACUGGUCGGCUAGUUGCUUUCUUCCUCCUCCUCUGGUUUGUUCCUUUUCUAGUUCUUCUCUCUGUUUUGUUCUCAGCUUUUUUAAGGCCACGGACAGCCCCGGUGGUGGUAACGGCCGGCCUCCUAAAUGCUCUGUAACCGACGCCUUCAAUGAAGAAACGCACGAGUUGGCUGCCAACGGAUGAAACGGAGGAAGAAGACAGUGAACAGGCGUCCAAGAAACGGCUCCGUUUUCCAUUCAACCGCUAAUUUCAAUGUGGUCCUUUACGUUUUGAAAUAUUUGUAACUAAGCCCCUAGUUAAAUUGAAAUUGGACCCCUGCAUUUCGUAGCCUUUUACAAGCUAGUCCUUGGACUUUAAUCUGCUGCAAUUUGGACCCCAAUUAAA